CGUGCCUAAUACAUGCAAGUCGAACGCACUCUCGUUUAGAUUGAAGGAGCUUGCUCCUGAUUGAUAAACAUUUGAGUGAGUGGCGGACGGGUGAGUAACACGUGGGUAACCUGCCCUAAAGUGGGGGAUAACAUUUGGAAACAGAUGCUAAUACCGCAUAAAACCUAACACCGCAUGGUGUAGGGUUGAAAGAUGGUUUCGGCUAUCACUUUAGGAUGGACCCGCGGUGCAUUAGUUAGUUGGUGAGGUAAAGGCUCACCAAGACCGUGAUGCAUAGCCGACCUGAGAGGGUAAUCGGCCACACUGGGACUGAGACACGGCCCAGACUCCUACGGGAGGCAGCAGUAGGGAAUCUUCCACAAUGGACGAAAGUCUGAUGGAGCAACGCCGCGUGAGUGAAGAAGGUUUUCGGAUCGUAAACUCUGUUGUUGGAGAAGAAUGUAUCUGAUAGUAACUGAUCAGGUAGUGACGGUAUCCAACCAGAAAGCCACGGCUAACUACGUG
rnacentral:rRNA from 1 species